rnacentral:rRNA from 1 species
CACGUAGGGCGCAAGCGUUGUCCGGAAUUAUUGGGCGUAAAGAGCUCGUAGGCGGUCUGUUGCGUCUGCUGUGAAAACCCGGGGCUUAACCCCUGGCUUGCAGUGGAUACGGACAGACUAGAGGUAGGUAGGGGAGAAUGGAAUUCCCGGUGUAGCGGUGAAAUGCGCAGAUAUCGGGAGGAACACCAGUGGCGAAGGCGACUCUUUGGCCUGUAACUGACACCGAGGCGCGAAAGCGUGGGGAGCAAACAGG